rnacentral:tRNA from 1 species
UGGGUUGUGGCUCAGUGGUAGAGCACUUGACUAGCAUGUGUGAGGCACUGGAUUUGAUCCAAGGCACCACAUAAAAAUAAACAAAUGAUAUAAAGGUAUUGUGUCCAUCUACAACUAAAAAAAAUACUAAAAAAAGGACCAGGGAUAUAGCUCAGUUGGUGGAGUGCUUGCUUCACAUGCACAAGGCCCUGGGUUCAAUUCCCAGCAACACAC